AUGGCAGGUUUGAAGCCUUCGGCCCAUGAGACGGCUGUGCUUCAGCGGGCGGGGCCUGAAGCUGUGACUGGGGGGGCGGGGGGGGCGGUUGGAAGAGCUGCUGGCGGUGCCAGGAAGGGUCACUGCGCUUCAGCGCUGCCCAGAGCCCCGGGCUGGAAUCAGGAGCCACCGCGGCCGGGAGGCAGGGGGGUGGGAAAGUGACGGGGGGGGUCAGCAAAGGGGGGGACAGUGUCCAGGGACAUCUGUAACGAGUGAGGUUACACGUGACCCCCUGGGACCCUCUGGGACCCUCUGAGGACUUCCCGAGGCAGCAGGACACACCAGAGGUGUGAAGAGAGUUGAGCUGCGAGAUGGACUUUUGGGUUGAUUCUCUUUCUCGUAAACGUGGCUUCGGGACGGUCACUGGAUCAGAAGGUAACCUCCCAGGAGGGUCUCGGGGCCUGAGGCCUGGUUUUAAAGCCCGUGUUUGGCGCGUAUCUUACUGUCGUUGUUUAUCUGAGGUUCUGGUUCCUACUAACGCUUAACCAGCCAUUAGCUGUUAUUAGUGGAGCUGAAGUGAUGAGGCGGUGAAACGCUGCCCGCUUUUACUGGAUGAAAGGAGAGACUUUGGGGUGAGCAGGGCUCCCAGUUGUGCUGCUUGUCUGCCGAGAGGCCCUGCGGAUGGAGGCGGCUCUCCUGAACCGGCCCAAGCUCUGAGGUGGCCCCUCUGUUGUCGUCCUGACGCCGGGAAGCCGCCAGUUCUGUGUGUCACCAACUGUCACGAACGCGGGCGAUGGACAGGGACGGAGCGGGGGGCCAGGACAGCAGGUGGAGUCAGGGCCCCACUGCAGAAUCUUACCCUCCAGCCACCCUUCUCCUGGGCUCGACUUCCUCUGGAAGCCAAGAGUGGGCCAGGGGUUCUCAAGGAAUGGGGUGCUAGCGCGGCUGCCACCCACCCUCCCUCACAGAGCAGAGUCCAAAGGCUAUUCUAGGUGUGGUCUUUCCGGUUCCUUUGGGGCCCCCAAAUAGUUUGAGUGGGUCGCAGUGGAAAGCAGGGCCAUUCUUCCUUGAACGCAAACGCACAUGCCCAGAAACUAACACACUCAGUGAUGAAAAAUUGAAGAGCUUUUCCCACUGUCAUCAGGAACAAGGCGGGGAACCCCACUGUCACCACUUCUACUCGACACGGCACCGCAAGUCCUGGCCAGGUAACUUGGACAAGAAAAAUAACGCAAAGGAAUAUAAAAUAGAAAGGUAGAAGUAAAAUGAUCUAUAUUAUAUACAGAUGACAUCAUCCUGUAUUUAGAAAACCCCAAAGACAUCACAAAAAUAUUAUUGGACAUAAUAAAUUCAGUAAAGUUGUAGGAUACAAAUUAAACAUACAAAAAUCAGUUGCAUUUCUAUAGGCAAACAUAGAACCAUCUGAAAAGGAAAUUAAGAAAACAAUACUAUUUACUGUAACAUUAAAAAGGGUAAAAUAUAUAGAAAUAAACUCAACCAAGGAAGCAAAAGUGUUGUACCAAAAAACCUACGAAAUACUGGUGAAAGUAAUUAAAGGAGAUACAACCCAAUGGAAAGACACUCCACAUCCAUGGAUUGAAAGAUUUAAUAUUAAAAUGUCCAAACCCAAAGCAAUCCACAGAGUCAAUGCUAUCCUUAUCAUAAUCUCAAUAACAUUUUUAACAAUCCUAAAAUUCAUAUGGAACCACAAAAGACCCCAAACAACCAAAUCAGUUUCUGAGAAAAAUGAACAAAGCUAGAGGCAUCAGACUUCCAGAUAUCAAAAUACAUCACAAAGCUACAGCAAAGUACCAUCAUCAACAAAUGGUGCCGGGAACACUAGAUGAAGAAUGAAGUUGAACUCUUAUUUACAUCAAGGGGGCAGAAAAACAGACAAAUGGAACUGCAUCAAACUAAAAAGCUUCUGUACAGCAAAGGGAACCAUCAACGAAAGUGCAAAUGUAGCCUAUGGGACGGAGAAAACACUUACAAAGCACGUAUCUGAGAAGGGAUGAAUUCCAAAAUAUACAAGCAAAUCAUACAAUUCAAUCAUGAAGACCAAACAACUGAUGAAAAAUUGGGAAAUGACUUGAACAGACCUUUCUCCAAAGAAGAUAUGCAAAUGGCCAGCAUGUGUGUGAGCCGUGCUGCACAUCGCUGGUCAUCAGCAAAUCAAAACUGCAAUGAGAUAUCACCUCGCACCUGUCAGAAUGGCUGUUAAAAAACCCCAAACAGCAAGAGUUGGUGGGGGGAUGGAGAAGAGGGGACCCGGUGCAGCUGUUUGGGGGCGUGGCAAGGGGUUCGGCCACUGUGGGAAACAGUGUGGAGGUUCCCCACACCAAGCUGCGAAAAUGCUGUUUGGUGUUUUAAGACAAAGGCGUGAGCUUUGAGAGGCGGCCUGGCGGCCUGGGAAGAGUGCAGGUUAAACCUCUCUUUGCCACAUUCCACGUCGUCUUAGGGCAGCACAUGGACAGCACCAUCUCCCCACUGAGUUACCGCGAGGGUUCAAGGAGAAGACGUCCGUGACAGCAGGUGCCAAGCAGUAGGUGACCAUCAAACAGGAAACCCUGCUUCCUUCUGUCUUCCUCUGAGGUCACCUGUACGGUCCUCUCAUCGGCCUGUGAGCCCCAUCCAAGAACACCCCACACGGCGGCUCAUGUGGGACCCAGGUGUCCCGGGACCGCAGAGGAGGUGGGCGAUGCAGAUGGAGGGAAGAACUGAGCUUGGAGAAGGAAACUGCUCUCGCCCUCGCCCUCUUGACACCACUCGUCUCAAACUAAGUGCCGUCGCUUGGGUGUCCCUUGCUCCUGUGCUGAGCCAGUGCCCGCCGCAGCUGCCAGCUGGAGCCCUGCUUACCUUCCUAGCUGAACCCUCCGUCCAGUGGGUUAUUGAUCAGCUUCCUAGGGUGACAGGGUAGACUUUCUGCAAAUGCUACGAUGUACAAAUCAAGGCAGCUAAUUAACAGCAAAAGAUUGCUUUGACAAGCCGUGAGGUCUUUCUUGCCCAGACUGAAGAAAGAUGCUGUCUACUGUGAAAAAUUGUAAAUCUGUCUUUGCUAUGUCUUGCUAAACAUAUUUUCACAAAAUUAGAAAGAGUCCACCUGUUCUCUUGCCAUUGACGCUAACUUUCGGGGUUAUUAGCCUUUGCUCUUGAUGAUUCUGACUUGGGUUUGAAUUCCACCCGGCAAAUAAAAACGCGUGAGCCGGCAUUGCUAGCCGCUGUGACGCGGAUGUGUUGGGGUGCUUUUCUUCCUUCUUAUUUUUUCUUGUCCACGAUGCCUUUGUCUUGGACAGACUUCUGCUCUGAGGCGGGCUCUGUUAAGUUUCAUUAGAUGGAAUGGCUCCCGCGGGGAGAGCCCGGAAGCGUUUUCAAAGACAGAAGGAGAGACGGGAACGUCCUGCGGCUGCUCUGUGCCCCUGGGUGACCCUGUCACAGCAGGUGUGGUGGCCCACCUGGUUCUGGCAGGGGAGGGCUUGGGGGGCAGGGAGGGUCCCUGUCCCUUUACCUCUAGCUGGACGAUUACCUUGGCUGCUCAGCUGUGUUAUUGAGCCAUUUCAGCGUGAAAUUUGUUUUUUCUCACUGAACUUUAAGCAGAAUUUCAAGUGCCAAGUCUCCGAAGCCGAGUGGGGCUAUUAAGCGAUAAUUAGUAAUUAUGCUAAUUUGAGAAGUAGCUGCCUUCGCCUUCCCGGUCAUUCCACGCCUGCUCUCCCGAGUCUGGUGGGGGCCGCGAGCCGAGCCUCUGUGCCCCGGGGCCUGUGGGUCUGGCGUCCGUCCGAGGGAAGGAAGGCCGGGGGUGUCCCGGGAGCCCGCGUGCUCCUCACCCGAGACGCAUGCUGGUUAGAAGUUCGUCCUGCGCCAACCGCACCUGCUGUCCCUUGUCCUCAGACCUGGACAGCAGUUCACCCUCCGCUGUGUCUGCAUUUUCCUCAUCAUCUCUGAGUCUUAACAGCGAGUCCCGCGUGUCCGUGUCUGUGUCCCGAAGCUCUGAAUUAGGCACCAGGGCGUCACGGGUCUUUUUCUCCUAAAAUGUCACGUUUAGAAGAACAAAUCACGGACUUCUAUGGAGUCGAUCCCGUGAACGCGGCCUCUGCGACGGCCCAGGGGAAGCAGCUGGACCAGCGAGAACGAGAUGAUGUUUGGAAAAUCCACCUUCGCGUGGGUGUUGGUGAGACCCCCUCACCCCAUUCACUCCGCCCCCCGGAGCGGGGACCUGCCCGGCUGUAAAUUCCGGUGAUGGAUCCCUGGCCUCGCUUCCCCAGAGGUCCCCAGGUCCCGCCCCUGCCCCCUCCGGCGUCACAGCUGCUCCUCCAUUCGAUCUCAUCUUGCCCUUGACCCGGUGCUGGACGUCAGCCCUGCUCCCGACACUGCUUCUCAACCUGCUCAGACCCCUGGAGAAGAGCAGGGCUUUCCACACGCUCCCGAAAUGCCCCGCUUCUCCCCAUGAGCUGCAGGGUGGGCACAGCCAGCCAGGGCGCAUAUGGAAAGGCGGUGUGACCUGCGCAGACACUGCUGGAAGUCAGUGCUCACAGACUCCCCGGGAGCCUUCAGCCAGCAGCCGUGGGGCAGAGCGGUCCCCUGAGGCCUGGCCAGUCCUGGGCUCACCAGGUCCAAGCCUGGGUGCGUCCCUGAAACCAGCGGCUCCACCUGAGAGCUGCAGCUGCAUCUGACCAACCUGCCUGCUGGUCCUGUGGGAGCUGGUGCUGCCACCUUCAAGGUGAGAAGGUGAGGAUGGAGCCACAGCUCACAGCGGAGGGACGGGCACACACCUGGCACCCUGGGGAGGACUCGGCGAGCAGGACCCGCGCUGAUGGGUGUGGCACGGCAGUGGUGGCAGCUCUGCGCACUGGGGGCUCUGAUGGGAGCUCUCUGCCCCGGGCUCCUUCGUAAGGUGCCC
rnacentral:lncRNA from 1 species